rnacentral:rRNA from 1 species
UACGGGAGGCAGCAGUGGGGAAUAUUGCACAAUGGGCGCAAGCCUGAUGCAGCCAUGCCGCGUGUAUGAAGAAGGCCUUCGGGUUGUAAAGUACUUUCAGUCGUGAGGAAGGUGUUAAGGUUAAUAACCUUAGCAAUUGACGUUAGCGACAGAAGAAGCACCGGCUAACUCCGUGCCAGCAGCCGCGGUAAUACGGAGGGUGCGAGCGUUAAUCGGAAUUACUGGGCGUAAAGGGCACGCAGGCGGUUAAUUAAGUUGGAUGUGAAAUCCCCGGGCUUAACCUGGGAAUGGCAUUCAAGCUGGUUAGCUAGAGUCUUGUAGAGGGGGUUAGAAUUCCAUGUGUAGCGGUGAAAUGCGUAGAGAUGUGGAGGAAUCCGGGUGGCGAAGGCGGCCCCUGGACAAAGGCUGACGCUCAUGUGCGAAAGCGUGGGGAGCAAACG